rnacentral:rRNA from 1 species
UCAGCGGCGAGCGAAGAGGGACCAAACUCGUUGCCGAAUCGGGCCUCAAAGGCCUUGAGUUGUGGCAUAAACGCCGCUCUGUGAAUGGUGCGGGAAUGGCGAAAUUCAAGCGCAAAGCAAACCUAUUGCUGAACACAACCCUUCAUGUGAGUAUUGAGCCAAAGAAGGUGUCAGCCCAUUGAGCCAUGAACCCGAGCAUCUCACUUGAGCGGUUCCAAGAGAGUAGCACUGUUUGGGAAUGCAGUGUCAAGCGGCAGGUAUGUGUCUGCCAAAGUUAAAUACAGAGUAGGAAGACCGAUAUCGAACAAGUAGCGUGAGCGAAAGUUUGAAAAGCACUUUGGAAAGAGAGUGACAUAGAACCUGAAGUCGUGACAAUGAUAAUGAAAGUACCUCCAUUUCAAUAUUUCGGCCAAAACCAACCUCACAGCAUUAUCCGUUCGGGAACUAGGCCGCAAGGCUGAAUCCGGGCGGCAACCAAAGUGCAAGAAUGAGGGGAAAUGGUGAAACGGGCGAGGAAGAAGGGACGUCGGACCCCUCCUUAACCAAGGGGCGCCGGCGUUCCUCCCUCGUGAUGCUCGA